GCGCGCACAUGUGUCCUGGGCGGAGCUGUAGUGCAUUGUAGUUGCAUUGCAUGUGUGUGUAGUGUGCAAUGUUCCUGCAGUGCAACACAGAGCUGCACCACUGAUCCUCCAGCCCGA
rnacentral:precursor_RNA from 8 species